rnacentral:lncRNA from 1 species
AUUGUCAACAGUGGUUAAUUUUGAGUAUAUACUUUGAGUCUUUGCCCUGGCUUAGAUGUACAGAACUUUUUAAUAUAAAAAUAAGAUCACACUAUAUAUGAAGAUUUGUAAUCUGCCUUUUUUUAUUUAAUGCAGUAUUGUAAAUAUUUUCCCAUAUCAAUAAAUUUUUCUUGGAAUGAUUAAAAUAUAGAGUUUCUCCAAUUGUUACACAGUGUUUCAUCUUAUGGAUGUACCAUCAUUUAUCUUAAAAAUCUCUUAUAGUAGAACGCAUAGGUUAUUUUCAACUUUUUACUAAAUUAAAUAUUCACAUUACAGUAAUAAUAGAUAAAUCUAUGUAGACAUUGACGAUAACUCCUUAGGCUAAGUUCUGAAAAGUGGAAGUUACGGAUCACAGACUUUAUUAAGUAGUAGGGCCAAACUGGUCUCCUAAAAGGGUAUAUUCUUGCCAGCAUGGAAAUCCUGCCCUUGCAAAGAAUAGGUGUUAGUAAUUACCUGAUAUUUGCUAAUUUGGUUGGGAGAGAUACAAUAUUUUAAUUUCAUUAAUUUGAUCAUUUGUGAGAAUAAACUUUUUUUCCGUAGGUUAAUUGAGUAUUUAUUUCUGUAUAUUCUUUGUGUAUUGUCUAUCAUGUUCUUUGCUCAUUUUUUCCCUGGAACAUGUGUCUUUUUCUAUUGAUCUUUAUCUAUUAAUUGUAUUGUCUUUGUCAUUAAAUUAUCCUUCCAGUUUGUUGUUUGCUUUUAAAUAUAAUUUAUGCAAUAAAUUCCUUCUUAAAUCUAAAUCUAUCUUGUCCCUUAUGGAGUCUACUUUAGCAUGUACACAUAAAAGAACUUAGUAUCUUUAAUAACUUUUAUCAGAGUCCUUUAUUGUUCCUCAAUCAAUUCCUCGCUAUUUCAUUAUAUAACUUUUUAAAAGUCAUGAGUUAAGUCAUUUUUUUUUAAGAUUUUAUUUUUUUCCUUUUUCUCCCCAAAGCCCCCCGGUACAUAGUUGUAUAUUCUUCGUUGUGGGUCCUUCCAGUUGUGGGAUGUGGGACGCUGCCUCAGCGUGGUCUGAUGAGCAGUGCCAUGUCCGUGCCCAGGAUUCCAACCAACGAAACACUGGGCCGCCUGCAGCGGAGCAUGCGAACUUAACCACUCCGCCACAGGGCCAGCCCUAAAUCAUUUUUGAAAAUCGUGAGUUACAUUUAGGUUUUACACACCUAUUCAGUUCAGUCUAACAGAUUUUUUCCGCAUUCUUCCUACUUUCAGUCUAGCACAGUGUUAGGAGCUAGAGAUAAGAGAAAACUAAUCCAUGAGAGAGGGCUAAUCCAGGAGAGAAGAUAAUCCAGGAGAAAGGGCGAUCCAGGAGAGAGGGCGAUCCAGGAGAGAGGGCGAUCCAGGAGAGAGGGCGAUCCAGGAGAGAAGGUGAUCCAGGAGAGAAGAUGAUCCAGGAGAAAGAGGGAUCCAGUGUCCUGUUCUUGAGGUGGGA